UUUAUGACUCUCGGCAAYKKAUAUCUUGKCUCCCGUAUCGAUGAAGAACGUAGCGAAAUGCGAUACUUGAUGCGAAUUGCAGACUCCCGUGAAUCAUCGAGUUUUUGAACGCAAGUUGUGCCCGAUGCCAUUCGACUGAUGGCACGCCUGCUUGGGCGUCACGC
rnacentral:rRNA from 1 species